GCCAUGUAACGUCCAUGUGUGCUGCUGAAAGAGUCUCUGCUGCUCUGACCGUCCUCCUCCUUUCAGGGUGACGCCUGCUGGAGUCCGAUGGUUGACACUAGGUCUGAGGAAGUAUUCCUGUGAACUCACAGUCGACACAAACACAGUACACAGAAACCUCAAACUGUCUGACAACAACAGGAAGGUGACAUUUGUGGAGGAGAAUCAGUCAUAUCCUGAUCAUCCAGACAGGUUUGUUUGGCCUCAGCUGCUGUGUAGAACUGGUCUGACUGGUCGCUGUUACUGGGAGGUCGAGUGGAGAGGAAAAGUUGACAUAUCAGUGAGUUACAGAAGAAUCAGAAGGAGAGGAUAUCGUUAUGACUGUUGGUUUGGCCAAAAUGAUCUGUCCUGGUCUCUGACCGGCUCUGAUGAUGGUUACUCUGUCAGACACAAUAAGAGAGAAACAUCCAUCAGGUCUUCAGUCUCCAACAGAGUAUCAGUUUAUGUGGACUGUCCUGCUGGAACUCUGUCCUUCUACAGAGUCUCCUCUGACUCUCUGAUCCACCUCCACACCUUCAACACCACAUUCACUGAACCUCUGUAUCCUGGAUUUGGGAUCUGGUCGUCUGGUUCCUCAGUGUUUCUGUGUUGAGUUCAGUAUCCAGAGUCUCCUCCUGGUAGAGAAACAGUUUCCCUGUUGAACAGAUGGUUCAGUCUCUACAUGUCUCUGUCACUCAAACAUGUUUUAGAUUCAAGGUUUUAACAAAACAAUAAACUAUGACAUUAUUUUACAACAGACUAUCCUGUCAGCUUUCUGUCAGAUGAUAUAAUAAACUGUAACAUGACGACUGUAGUAAAAUCUU